rnacentral:rRNA from 1 species
CUACGGGAUGCAGCAGUGGGGAAUAUUGCACAAUGGGCGCAAGCCUGAUGCAGCCAUGCCGCGUGUCUGAAGAAGGCCUUCGGGUUGUAAAGUACUUUCAGCGGGGAGGAAGGGAGUAAAGUUAAUACCUUUGCUCAUUGACGUUACCCGCAGAAGAAGCACCGGCUAACUCCGUGCCAGCAGCCGCGGUAAUACGGAGGGUGCAAGCGUUAAUCGGAAUUACUGGGCGUAAAGCGCACGCAGGCGGUUUGUUAAGUCAGAUGUGAAAUCCCCGGGCGCAACCUGGGAACUGCAUCUGAUACUGGCAAGCUUGAGUCUCGUAGAGGGGGGUAGAAUUCCAGGUGUAGCGGUGAAAUGCGUAGAGACCUGGAGGAAUACCGGUGGCGAAGGCGGCCCCCUGGACGAAGACUGACGCUCAGGUGCGAAAGCGUGGGGAGCAAACAGGAUUAGAUACCCGAGUAGUC